rnacentral:rRNA from 1 species
UACGUAGGUGACAAGCGUUGUCCGGAUUUACUGGGCGUAAAGAGCGCGCAGGCGGUCGAUCAAGUCGAGUGUGAAAGCCCCCGGCUCAACUGGGGAGGGUCAUUCGAUACUGAUCGACUCGAAGGCAGGAGAGGGUAGUGGAAUUCCCGGUGUAGUGGUGAAAUGCGUAGAUAAUCGGGAGGAACACCUGUGGCGAAAGCGGCGCACUGGACCACAACUGACGCUGAGGCGCGAAAGCUAGGGGAGCAAACGGG